GACGGAGGAUGCAAGCGUUAUCCGGAAUGAUUGGGCGUAAAGCGUCCGCAGGUGGCAGUUCAAGUCUGCCGUCAAAGACCGGGGCUUAACUUCGGAAAGGCAGUGGAAACUGAACAGCUAGAGUAUGGUAGGGGCAGAGGGAAUUCCUGGUGUAGCGGUGAAAUGCGUAGAGAUCAGGAAGAACAUCGGUGGCGAAGGCGCUCUGCUGGACCAUAACUGACACUCAGGGACGAAAGCUAGGGGAGCGAAUGGG
rnacentral:rRNA from 1 species